AAAACUUUGAGUAUACAUGGAAUCAGGUUGCAAAUCAUGGUGCUGGUAGUCCACAUGCUCCCUCCAUCCAGGACACAGAGCUGAGUCGCUGAUUCUUUCCGGGCACAGGCCCCAGUGCUGAUGACAGGGGCCCAGAGAAGAGGAAACUGUGGUCCUGGCCCAAGAAGGGCUCCCAGGGAAGGUGGGCCAAGGGAGAUGGACAAAGAGAUGGUUUGAGUUUGCUUUGGUGUGCAUCACCCCAUUCUGAACACAUCGGGAAGGAAGCAGGAGAGAGCCAGAAGCUGCCUGCCAUUCCUGGUGAGUCAGUUGGCCAACAUGGAACAUUCGUUUCAUCAUAUUCUCCUGCUGGAGAUCAAGAGCAUCACCGAUACUUUCUCCUCCAUCCUGGGCCCUCAAAGCCGAGAUAUCUUCCGCAUGAGCAACAGCUUCACCACUGUUGCCAGGCUCCUAACCCAACAACUGGAAACUGCCCAGGCCAGGAGCAGCAGUCCAGUAGACGGCAAAUGUUAGUGUGGACGGGAUCUCGGUGCUCCCAGUACUGCAUGGACGAUACAAAGGAAGCUUGCAGGGAUCCCUGGGUGGUGCAGCGGUUUGGCGCCUGCCUUUGGCCCAGGGCGCGAUCCUGGAGACCCGGGAUCGAAUCCCACGUCAGGCUCCCGGUGCAUGGAGCCUGCUUCUCCCUCUGCCUGUGUCUCUGCCUCUCUCUCUCUCUCUCUCUCUCUGUGACUAUCAUAAAAAAAAAAAAAAACAAACAAAAACAAAGGAAGCUUGCAGAAAUGUCAAGGGUCCCUUCGCCUUCUCCUCCCCAAAGC
rnacentral:lncRNA from 1 species